GCGGAUAUGGUGGAACUGGUAGACACGCACGCUUGAGGGGCGUGUGGGGAGACCCUUGCGAGUUCGAGUCUCGCUAUCCGCA
rnacentral:tRNA from 3 species